UCCCUGUUUGAAAAAUGUCGCACGUCGUACAAGCUGUCGCGCGGUUUUGAUUUUACCGUUUCGAUAUCGAUUGGUCGAAAGGACGACAAACGUACGACAAACACUCGACCUGCCCGACAUUGUUUUUUCCAUCGAUUUCCCUUCAAUUCGACGUCACGAUUUUCGUCGACGCAAACAGUUUGACAGUUCUCUUUAGCUGGUCUUGUUUGGACUUGAUUGCAACCGAAUCGAACCAGUUAUUGUUGAUGUUGGGCUUCGGAAGGAUUUUGACCGGUUGAUAGAUAUUCAGAAUUCGGUCUUCGUGGCGGUGGAGGAGGAGGACGAGACGCAUGAAUCCGGCGGGCCAAUUCUUCGUGGCGGAAGACGGGACCGGAAGGAACCGAGCUUAUGGAGGAUAUGGUUCAUUCCAAAGGAGGAGGAGGAUGAAACACCGAGUGUCAAAAGUUCUACCCAAGGUAACCAAAAAUUUUCCAAUCUGAUCCUGCUAACAAACCAGCGUCUCCGUGUUGUCCCACGCAUUUUGUUGAACGGAAGCUGUAACGACCGCAAAAACACCUGCUCCGGAAGUGGGUAAACCGACGUUGUCCCGUACUCCGGUGGCCAUCAAUCCAUGGGACAUAAACGGUGCCGCCGCACCCCGCCGUAUCUGCGGCUUGUCGAGGAGCAAUAGUCCAUCUUGAUCAAGAUGCUGCCGAGCACGCUGGCGUCGGCUCGAAAAGAUGGCUGGCAAAUUCUGGACC